UACGUAGGGUGCAAGCGUUGUCCGGAAUUAUUGGGCGUAAAGAGCUCGUAGGCGGUCUGUCGCGUCUGCUGUGAAAUCUCAGGGCUUAACCCUGAGCUUGCAGUGGGUACGGGCAGACUAGAGUGCGGUAGGGGAGACUGGAAUUCCUGGUGUAGCGGUGAAAUGCGCAGAUAUCGAGAGGAACACCGGUGGCGAAGGCGGGUCGCUGGGCCGAUACUGACGCUGAGGAGCGAAAGCGUGGGGAGCGAACAGG
rnacentral:rRNA from 1 species